ACAACAAUAGGAACGUUUUAUGGUGGAACUGAAUAAAAGCUUUUCUCAAAAUCUCACAACUACGUCAACAACGAGGCGUAUUUUACAUAUUAUUAUUUUUUUUUAAAUAUUUUGCGUUGAGCUGAUUUUGCUGUGUCCGAAGGACGUUUGCCAUUUCCGCAGAGUGAGGACAGAAGAGACACUUGAAGAGCCGCAGCUCUUGUGUACUAUGAAGAGGAAAAGGGUUGAAUAAAGGCAGGAGAUGGAAGUUGCAGAACACAA